rnacentral:rRNA from 1 species
CCUACGGGAGGCAGCAGUGGGGAAUAUUGGACAAUGGGGGGAACCCUGAUCCAGCCAUGCCGCGUGUGUGAAGAAGGCCCUCGGGUUGUAAAGCACUUUCAGUGAGGAAGAACGCCUGGUGGUUAAUACCCAUCAGGAAAGACAUCACUCACAGAAGAAGCACCGGCUAACUCCGUGCCAGCAGCCGCGGUAAUACGGAGGGUGCGAGCGUUAAUCGGAAUUACUGGGCGUAAAGCGCGCGUAGGUGGCUUGAUAAGCCGGUUGUGAAAGCCCCGGGCUCAACCUGGGAACGGCAUCCGGAACUGUCAAGCUAGAGUGCAGGAGAGGAAGGUAGAAUUCCCGGUGUAGAGGUGAAAUGCGUAGAGAUCGGGAGGAAUACCAGUGGCGAAGGCGGCCUUCUGGACUGACACUGACACUGAGGUGCGAAAGCGUGGGUAGCAAACAGGAUUAGAUACCCUGGUAGUC